UGGACUAGUUGGAGCCUAUUUUUGGGUAGAGAAGGAAGUAAAAUACCUAAUCACACCAACUGGCUCUCCCAAUUUUGUUUCAUUCUUUCACACAAAGCAUCACAUCACCACCACCCCAAAGCAAGCAUUCACAAUAAUCAUUCUCUCUCUGGCGCAAGAAAAAAAGACAUGACAAUUUGCGUUAUUAUUCCCCCAAUUGAAAACACUCUUCACAUGCUUUUCCUGCUCAGGAAAUGUAUUGUUCAUCAUACUACUAUUUCUUGUUGGCCCUCCAAACCCUUGUGAUCUCUCUUUUUCAAGAUUCCACUUUCCCAUUUAUAUUUAUCUCUAUACAUACACUUAACCUCAUCUCAUCUUCAAUAUACACAAAGCCAGCAUCUUUUGUUUUCUUCAACAUAGUGCCACUCUGGAAUGAAAAGAGCAGCGUACUACAGCUGUGUAGCCCAAAUGCAGGAUCAUUGGCCUAUCAAGAAGGCUCUGACAUUGUCUGAUGUAGAUAUCACUCAUCCAUUCCUCACUUUGUCUAGGCAACAAGUGGAGAAUCACAUUGUGUUGCAUAUGACAACAGAAGAACAGGAGCAUUUGAGAGCCCAAGGCCAAGUAGAUUUUAAUGCCCGAGAUGAUGAUACAGGUGAGAUGUAUGUGAUGAAGUUGAAAUGGCGGGGAAGCUAUUACAAUCUUAUCGGUAAGUGGGGCAGAGUUGUACGAGGGAAAGGACUUGAUGUUGGGCAAGAGAUUAAAAUACGUUGGGAAAAUGGGUGCUUACACUUCUCAGUCCCACAGCAGCAGAUUGUUGCAGUCCCACCAAUUCGGAUGGUUGCCGCACCAGUAGUGCAGGACCACUGGCCCAUUAAGAAGAUCUUGACCCUCUCUGAUGUCGACACUAAUCAUCCAUUUCUCCCUCUGCCCCGUCGAUUAGUUGAGGAUCAUAUCCUUGUGCAUUGGACACCUCAGCAACAAGAACAGCUGAGGAAGGAGGAGCAUGUGAAUGUAAAUGCCCGGGAUUAUGAUACCGGCGAAGCUUAUAUAAUGAAAUUUAAGUGGAGGGGGAAUUACUGUAACCUUAUUGGGAAAUGGGGAACAAUAAUUCGGCAGAAGGGACUUGGUGUUGGGAAAGAGAUCAGGUUGCGCUGGGCAAAUCAGUGCUUGUUCUUUUCAGUUCCCCAGGAGCGGUUUGUUGCCACAGCCUCGGGGAUGGAUAACUGGCCUAUUAAGAAGGCACUUACAUUGUCUGAUGUGGAUACCAAUCAUCCAUUUCUUACUUUGCCCGGCAAGGCUGUUGAAGAUCAUAUUCUUUUUUAUUGGUCACAGCAAGCCAGAGAACAACUGAGAAAUGAACAUCAGAUGAAUAUUAAUGCUCGAGAUGAUGACAAUGGUGAUGCCUAUUUGAUGAAGUUAAGAUGGCGGGGUAGUUAUUAUAAUCUCAUUGGAAAAUGGGGAAAAAUCAUUAGAGGGAAGAAACUUCAGGUUGGAAUGGAGAUCAGACUACACUGGGAUAAUGGAUGCUUAUUCUUCUCAGUUCCUCAGUUAUAGCAUUGCCCAACCUGUAAAUGUAGGUGAACCACCAAAUCGCUUUUCACAUUUCAUGCAUCAUUUCAACACACUGGAAAUUAAACUAUUUCAGACGAUAAUUCAUUGAAGCAGUGGCUUGGCAGAGCUGGAUUUAAAUCUGUCCAGGCAGCAAGUGACUGACCAAGCACAAAUUUUGUCAGGCUCUUAAGAUUUCAAGACAAAUUACCCCUGCUAUAGUUGAAUUCUGGUCAAUGAUGGAUUGUCUGGACUGACAGAUUGACUCUGCUGAGCCUUCUGCUGCACAUUGCUUAUAUAUAACACCAUCUUCUGUUCAGCGUUAAUAGCUAGAUGAUUCCAGCUACUUGGAAGUCUUCAAGCUUGUCAUGAUCCUUAAUGAGCUGUUUCUAUUGCAGUCAGUGUGACCUCUACCUUUGCUUUUGCAGAAAAAGGACAGUUGCUUUCUACCAGAUGUUUAUAAAUUGGUUCUUUAGUACAACCAAUUGGAUAUUCUUGUUUUGUGGGAAUUCCUUAUUACCAAAAGUUACUAGGAACUUCAGGAGUUUUGGGCCCUUAAAGCAGAGACUCGGGAAGCCCUCGGGGCUUUCGUCUAUUGGUAAGAGCACAACACGUGAUGUGUGGAUUAGGUGCACGUCAUGAGUUUGAACUCUGCCACAGGAAAGAGCCUAGCGUUUCAGUGGAGAAGGGUAAAUGUGUAGGUCCAUUAUCCACUGAGCUUCGGACAGUGCGCCAAUUGUCUCUCGAAGAUUUUUCGGUUAUCAACUGGAAAAAGAAGAGAUUCAGGGAGCCUAUACCUUGUGAAAAGAAAGGGUGUAUAAUUUUUGCAGUCGGGAACUGGUAAAGCUGGGUAUCAGAAAGUGACUGCAGCAUAGGAGUUAUUUUCUGUCAUUAGUCUGCUGAAACUGAAAGCACUAGACCCGAACACAGGACUUGAUCAAAUUGCUUCUCUGGCUGCAAGAGUUUUUUGGCAUCUGCUGAUGUAUCCAAGUAAGCUACAAGCUUCAUUAAAGUGACUGUUACGCGGCCGACAGCUGCUGUUCGAUUCUGUAUGCUGCCUUAAGUAGUGAUGCUUUCUAGAUCAUGAUAUAGUUGGGGAAUCUUUCAUUUGUCAUAUUGAUAUGAUCCGGAAUGGUUCAAGUGCUCAAUUUUAUCCAUGGACUUGUACUAGAAGCGGAGACAAGGCCUUUCAAGCUUUAGAAGCCAUGUUCAUGGAGAAUGAAGCUAUGGAAGCACUUAAAGAGAGUCAUUGGAGGGCCUUCAAGCUAUGGAAGAUAGCAUGGAGGAAUAAGUCAAGAGACCAAGAGCCCAAGGCCCAAAGCUUGCCUCUUAAAGUGGCUACAAUUACAAACUUGGAUGGUUAAAGGCUGGAAGGUGGUUAUUUCUGCAAAAGGACCAAUUUUCGAAAAUAAGCCAUCAUCCAAGAAGACCAA